UACGUAGGGUGCGAGCGUUAAUCGGAAUUACUGGGCGUAAAGCGUGCGCAGGCGGCGCGUUAAGACAGGUGUGAAAGCCCCGAGCUUAACUUGGGAAUUGCGCUUGUGACUGGCGUGCUGGAGUGUGGCAGAGGGAGGUGGAAUUCCACGUGUAGCAGUGAAAUGCGUAGAGAUGCGGAGGAACACCGAUGGCGAAGGCAAUCCCCUGGACCUGUACUGACGCUCAUGCACGAAAGCGUGGGGAGCAAACAGG
rnacentral:rRNA from 1 species